rnacentral:rRNA from 1 species
UACGUAGGGGGCUAGCGUUGUCCGGAUUUAUUGGGCGUAAAGAGCGUGUAGGCGGCUUGGUAGGUCUGCUGUGAAAACUCGGGGCUCAACCCCGAGACGUCGGUGGAAACUGUCGGGCUAGAGUCCGGAAGAGGCGAGUGGAAUUCCCGGUGUAGCGGUGAAAUGCGCAGAUAUCGGGAGGAACACCAAUGGCGAAGGCAGCUCGCUGGGACGGUACUGACGCUGAGACGCGAAAGCGUGGGGAGCGAACAGG